GAGAAACGUGAUGAGCUUGUAUACGAAAUACAUUUCUAAAGAUGGUUGGAGUCUAGGAUUUAUUUACGACACAUCAUCAUUGUGCCAUUUGAAUAUUAUAUAAAUUUAUUAUUAUAUAUUUUAUUGUUCUAUCUUUAUUGCGUUAUUAAAUUA